rnacentral:rRNA from 1 species
GUGCCAGCGCCGCGGUAAUACCGGCAGCCCGAGUGAUGGCCGAUCUUAUUGGGCCUAAAGCGUCCGUAGCUGGCUGCGCAAGUCCGUCGGGAAAUCCACUCGCCCAACGAGUGGGCGUCCGACGGAAACUGCACAGCUUGGGACCGGAAGGCUCGAAGGGUACGUCCGGGGUAGGAGUGAUAUCCUGUAAUCCUGGACGGACCGCCGGUGGCGAAAGCGCCUCGGGAAGAUGGACCUGACAGUGAGGGACGAAAGCCAGGGUCUCCAACCGGAUUAGAUACCCGGUAGUCC